rnacentral:rRNA from 1 species
AACGNGUAGAAUCUGCCUUCAGGUUCGGGACAACCACUGGAAACGGUGGCUAAUACCGAAUGUGCAGCAAUGUGAAAAAUUUAUUGCCUGAAGAUGAGCUCGCGUCUGAUUAGCUAGUAGGUGUGGUAAGAGCGCACCUAGGCGACGAUCAGUAGCUGGUCUGAGAGGAUGAUCAGCCACACUGGGACUGAGACACGGCCCAGACUCCUACGGGAGGCAGCAGUGGGGAAUUUUCCGCAAUGGGCGAAAGCCUGACGGAGCAAUACCGCGUGAGGGAGGAAGGCUCUUGGGUUGUAAACCUCUUUUCUCAAGGAAGAAAAAAAUGACGGUACUUGAGGAAUAAGCAUCGGCUAACUCCGUGCCAGCAGCCGCGGUAAUACGGAGGAUGCAAGCGUUAUCCGGAAUGAUUGGGCGUAAAGCGUCCGCAGGUGGCUAUGUAAGUCUGCUGUUAAAGAGUCUGGCUCAACCAGAUAAAGGCAGUGGAAACUACAUGGCUAGAGUGCGUUCGGGGCAGAGGGAAUUCCUGGUGUAGCGGUGAAAUGCGUAGAGAUCANGAAGAACACCGGUGGCGAAAGCGCUCUGCUAGGCCGCAACUGACACUGAGGGACGAAAGCUAGGGGAGCGAAAGGGAUUANAUACC